CCUCGCCUGCCACGCGGGCGGCGGCGCGGCUGCUGACACCGGGCGGAACGGUGACUUUCCUGCGGGGCGCGGCGCAUUCGAUCGCCGCGGCAGGGGC
rnacentral:tRNA from 1 species